rnacentral:rRNA from 1 species
AGACGGGUGAGUAACGCGUGGGAAUCUACCCAACCCUACGGAAUAGCUCCGGGAAACUGGAAUUAAUACCGUAUACGCCCGGGCACAGGGAUGUGUCUGGGGAAAGAUUUAUCGGGGAUGGAUGAGCCCGCGUUGGAUUAGCUAGUUGGUGGGGUAAAGGCCUACCAAGGCGACGAUCCAUAGCUGGUCUGAGAGGAUGACCAGCCACAUUGGGACUGAGACACGGCCCAAACUCCUACGGGAGGCAGCAGUGGGGAAUAUUGGACAAUGGGCGCAAGCCUGAUCCAGCCAUGCCGCGUGAGUGAUGAAGGUCUUAGGAUUGUAAAGCUCUUUCAGUGGGGACGAUAAUGACGGUACCCACAGAAGAAGCCCCGGCUAACUUCGUGCCAGCAGCCGCGGUAAUACGAAGGGGGCUAGCGUUGUUCGGAAUUACUGGGCGUAAAGCGCACGUAGGCGGAUAUUUAAGUCGGGGGUGAAAUCCCGGGGCUCAACCCCGGAACUGCCUUCGAUACUGGGUAUCUUGAGUUCGGAAGAGGUGAGUGGAAUUGCGAGUGUAGAGGUGAAAUUCGUAGAUAUUCGCAGGAACACCAGUGGCGAAGGCGGCUCACUGGUCCGAUACUGACGCUGAGGUGCGAAAGCGU